GCCUCUUUGGAUUAGUAGCAAAUCAAGAAUGAUACUCAUUGCUCACCAUGCAAGUCUUCGGAUUAGGUGCAAACCUGUCUUUACCCUUUAUUGCAUCAUUGCAUGGAAUGCAGCAACCUUAUACUACUCCCAUGCCUUGUGCAGUGUACGCUAUAACAACCUGCUGUAAUGGAUUCAGUACACCCAUGGGUGCAUGCAUGGCAGGCUGCACAGGACUCGCUCACUAUGCGAGCACACAAGGUUCUCUUAUUGGGAACUCUUAUUGCAUCCUGUCUCCAGUGAAGGGCGACGAGGCCGACUUCAUCUCGGCUUCCAAGGAGUUCAUGUCAUCGGCACCGUCUUGGUGCCCCGCUCUCGCCACUGUCAUGCCUCUCAUGACACCAUCGCCGCCGACGCCAAGGAAGUCGCGCGUCAUCUCAGCGCCACCACGGCCCUGGCUAAACUUCACAUCUUGGUUCAUGUCAUACAUCCUCGGGUCAAUCAUGCUGCCGCUGUUGGCGCCGCCGAACAUGCCGCCGGCAGCCAGCGAGCUCAUCAAGCUCUGUAGGUGCAUCUGGCUCUGGUCGAGCAUGGGUGCCCGGGCGUGCCUAGCGGAGGGCGCCGACGAGCCCACGAGCCCCCCAAACACGGACACGCCGCCGUGCGCGCUCGCGCUGGAGCCCAUCUGGGACGCCUUCUGCAGAAGCGCCGUCGCGGACAUCUGCGGCAGCAUCACGGCCGGAUCAUUGUUGUACAUCCCGCCAGGAGCAACUUGGUGGUC
rnacentral:misc_RNA from 1 species